rnacentral:rRNA from 1 species
ACAGCAGUCGCCGCGGGAAUACGAAGGGGGCUAGCGUUGCUCGGAAUCACUGGGCGUAAAGGGUGCGUAGGCGGGUCUUUAAGUCAGGGGUGAAAUCCUGGAGCUCAACUCCAGAACUGCCUUUGAUACUGAAGAUCUUGAGUUCGGGAGAGGUGAGUGGAACUGCGAGUGUAGAGGUGAAAUUCGUAGAUAUUCGCAAGAACACCAGUGGCGAAGGCGGCUCACUGGGCCGACACUGACACUGAGAGACGAAAGCUAGGGGAGCAAAUGGGAUUAGAUACCCCCGUAGUCCCUGUCUCUUAUAC